AAGACAAUAAAGGAGGCCUAAAUGGUACCCUAUUCCCUUUAUAAUGCACUACUUUUGACCAGAGCUUUAGUGCACUUUAUAGGGAAUAGGGAGCCAUUUGGAACAUAAACAACAAUCUGCUGGGAGACUUAGUUUCACAGAGUAUAAUAUAAGUGUAGGCAUACAUGUGUACACAUGCACUCAUGGAGCUGAGGUCGGAAUACAACGCUAACUUACCUGACAGGUCUGAAUGCUAAGCUAACUUACCUGACAGGUCUGAAUGCUAAGCUAACUUACCUGACAGGUCUGAAUGCUAAGCUAACUUACCUGACAGGUCAGAAUACAAGACUAACUUACCUGACAGGUCUGCAUGCUAAGCUAACUUACCUGACAGGUCUGCAUGCUAAGCUGACUUACCUGACAGGUCUGCAUGCUAAGCUAACUUACCUGACAGGUCGGAAUACAAGACUAACUUACCUGAAAGGUCUGCAUGCAAAGCUAACUUACCUGACAGGUCUGAAUGCUAAGCUAACUUACCUGACAGGUCUGAAUGCUAAGCUAACUUACCUGACAGGUCUGAAUGCAAAGCUAACUUACCUG